UUAUACUUUUGUCAUUACCAAGCACCAUUAAUUAGGAAAAAAUGUUGAUCUUCCUCCUUUUUCUCUCCUUUCGGUUGUUGUCAUUUUACUUUUUGUAUCCUCUCAUCUGUUGCCAUUGCUAUGUAUAUGAUUUUUUUCUCCAUUCAUUCAAAACCUGAUUCUUUCUCCAUUUCCUUCUGCAAGGUACAAAUAACACAACUAGCUAUAGUAAAGGUGGUGACCAGAACUUCUGCAAGCCAGAGUAACAUUAGUUGUGCGAUGUUUGCCAGUUGGGAAGACUUUAGACCAAAAAUAUUUUUGACCUGAUAAUAAUGAGAAUGGUUGUGUUGGUCUAGCAACUUUGACAAUUAUGUCAUACAACAUCUUUUUGAAGGAAUUUUGUAUAGAUAUUGAAAAGGCUUUAUGAUUAUUCAAAACUUGGGAAGAUCCCAACAAAUGUAGUAAUCUACAAAAUAUUAGAACUGGGACAUACAUGACAAUAUAUUUCCAAUUAUUUUUCUCUGGCUUAUCUUUUUCCUCUUUAUGUAGUGUUGGAUUUAGCUGCGUAUGGUAGUAGCUUUCAGUUAACAGGCUGAUAUAUCUUCUUAGAUAGUAUAGACUAUUCUAAUGGAGGUGUCCUUUGUAGGUUCCAUAUUCUCUAUUUGAUCUUGCUGGCAUAAUAUGUGGACAAUGUGGGAUCCCAUUUUGGAAAUUCUUUUUUUUCACAACUUUUAUUGGAAAGCCUAUCAAUAAAAUUCACAUUUUUUAGACUUGCCUAUUUAUUUGACAUGAUUCUCAUAGAGAUGUGUUAUUUGACUAUCCUUCUGAAGACCGUAUGUAUAAUUUAUGUUUGCAACAAUCAACUUCUUAAUUUAGUGGACACCAAGUUGAUUUGGAUGCUUAGUUUUAUACCUGGUAUUAAAACCAGGUUACCCAAAACCAUUGCCAAGAUCUAUUCCAUGAAAGACAAGUAUAUGGCCACUAAAACUCCUUCAAUAUCAAAUAUAAAGGCAAUAAUUUAGCUAAUUCUAUUUUUA